UUUAUGGAGAGUUUGAUCCUGGCUCAGGAUGAACGCUGGCGGCGUGCCUAAUACAUGCAAGUCGAGCGAACAGACGGGGAGCUUGCUCCCCCGACGUUAGCGGCGGACGGGUGAGUAACACGUGGGUAACCUACCUAUAAGACUGGAAUAACUCCGGGAAACCGGGGCUAAUGCCGGAUAACAUGUUGGACCGCAUGGUCCUACAGUGAAAGACGGUCUUGCUGUCACUUAUAGAUGGACCCGCGCCGUAUUAGCUAGUUGGUAAGGUAACGGCUUACCAAGGCAACGAUACGUAGCCGACCUGAG
rnacentral:rRNA from 1 species